UACGAAGGGGGCUAGCGUUGUUCGGAAUUACUGGGCGUAAAGCGCGCGCAGGCGGCUCUUCAAGUCAGGGGUGAAAGCCCAGAGCUCAACUCUGGAACUGCCUUUGAGACUGUAGAGCUUGAGUACGGGAGAGGUGAGUGGAAUUCCCAGUGUAGAGGUGAAAUUCGUAGAUAUUGGGAAGAACACCGGUGGCGAAGGCGGCUCACUGGCCCGUUUCUGACGCUCAGGCGCGACAGCGUGGGGAU
rnacentral:rRNA from 1 species